UACGGGGGGGGGCAAGCGUUGUUCGGAAUUACUGGGCGUAAAGGGCUCGUAGGCGGCCAACUAAGUCAGACGUGAAAUCCCUCGGCUUAACCGGGGGAACUGCGUCUGAUACUGGAUGGCUUGAGUUUGGGAGAGGGAUGCGGAAUUCCAGGUGUAGCGGUGAAAUGCGUAGAUAUCUGGAGGAACACCGGUGGCGAAGGCGGCAUCCUGGACCAACACUGACACUGAUGAGCGAAAGCCAGGGGAGCAAACGGG
rnacentral:rRNA from 1 species